UUCAUGUUCUAAACAUUUCUUUUUAUUCAAAUAGUCAUGAAUCAUCAUUUUCGUAUUUCAUACUAGUUCGAAAUUAAGUGUCUUUUAAAUUAAUUUAUAGUAAUAAACAUGCAUGUUCUUGCUGUAAAAUAUAGGGAAUUGAAGAAAAAAAAAAUCAUGAGAAUUCUGAAUCAUUAAUCAAAAUUGAAAUAACAUACCAGUAAAAAAUGUUUCACGAGAAGUCGCUUUUAAAUAUAUUUAAAAACUUGUGUCAAUCUUUUAUCUUGCUGAUUUAACUAUUUGAUAGAUUAUUAUUACGACUUACACAUAAUAUACUGUUAUAUUUGCUUAUAUUGAUGGAAAGUUCUUAUACAAUUAAAUAUGAGACAAUCUUAAAAAAAGACACUAUUUGAACAAUACAAAAGUACGUGUAUAAUUC
rnacentral:lncRNA from 1 species